rnacentral:lncRNA from 7 species
AAAGGAAGCCACGGAAAAGUAGCUCUCGGUAGCAUGAAAGGAGGCAGGAGAAGAAAGUGAUGUGACACGAAUUAAGUCGCGCCGUGACGGAAAGCCGAUCCCCCCAUCAGAGGGCCCAGCGUGCGCUGCGUUCUGUCCUUUGAUUAGGUCGGGAGUUGGCGGGGUCAGCUUUCCUCGGUCGCCGUGAACGAAGUGGGACAAGGGAGCUGUUGUGUGCUGUGUGGGGAAGACUGCUGCAAAACAAGGUCGUCCUUUUACAGCAUGAACUGUGUUAUCGAGAAGAUGUGGAAUAAACGUGACAAAGCGAUGCAGUCCUUUAAAUCUGCCUUAAUUUUACUGGGAACACUGCAAAUGCAAGACAAUACCAGUCGCUGUGUGAAGCGUUGCAUGUGGUUGACCUGCUCUACCCUAGGGGCUGUGUAUGGUUGGAGUAUGACUUGAGAUCUACAGGAGGAACAGCACAAGCCAGCGUUUGUACUGCUUGAUUAUCACAGACGCAGCUUCAGGUACCUUGGACUGCAAUUUUAUGGAAUUAUUAAGUAGGAACUGUAUGAAAAUGGGGACUCUGUGCCAAAGUGCAUGGCUCUUUGUCAGUAUCCAGACUAGAAGCCUGCAGACUCCAGGUGGGGCCAGCUCUGGGUUGUCUGUGAGCAGUGUUUGAUCUCACAGUGUAUUCCUCAGUGGCAGAGACUUCUGUUUAACAUUUUUGUGCCUUCCAGUCUCCCUUGUUCAUUUAAAGGAAAUCCUCUUUCUCCUUGACAAGUGCACAUGGUUACCCAAACCCAUCUAAAACUUGGGUGAGACCAGUUACUCCACAAACCAGAUGUGAAACCAAGCAUCUGACCUGAUGUCACAUUUGAAAACAGCAGGGCUGGAAGGAGGAGGCAUGGCAAUGAGAAGCUUGAGUCUGUUUUAGAAGACAGAAGCAAGCCCACUAACCUGCACUUGCCAGGUGUGUUGUGCAUCGUUCUGCCUCCAGUGAGCAGGAGGGGCUUGCUUCCAUCCACACUGCCUUCCAUCCGCACUGCCUUCCAUCCACACUGCCUUCCAUCCACACUGCCGAUGCCACUCAGCAGCCGUGGGUAGGAGUGUGUGCUCAGCUCUUUGUUCUCGCCCAGCAGGAGGCAGGUUCCAGCUUUCCAUGUGCCUAGGUGCUCUUUAAUCUAUUAUUUGUCUUAUAAAAUGGCUGAAUACAACAAAGAUCUUUUGGUUUAUUGAAACUGCCUAGGAAAAAAAUUAUUUAAACUAAUGCACAAAGGAAUUCCUAAAUCUUGGUUUCGCUGUUUUGUUUUGGUUUUUUUUUUUUAAUAAUUCUGCAUUACAAUACAGAAAAAAAAAUCUGUCCUCCUGUCUGGCUAAUGUUAGUUUGAUGAUUAUACUAAUAUUAACUGCUUUACUUGAGUAAGCAAAGAAAAGGUAAAAUACCAGUCAGCCCAGCUGCUAAUUCACAGAGUGUUGUACGACGGUUAUUAAAAAUACCCAAAAGAUGUACCUUUGUGGUUCAGUCUUUUGAAUUAGAAGCAGAAUAUUAAUUUAGGCCUGGAGCAUGAUUAAACAUUGUAAGGCCCCCUAAGAAUUUUCACCAAAUUUUCUUGGAUUUCUCUUUAUUGGGUCUUCCUCGACUGUGUUUAGCUCUGUAAUUGCUUUGCUCCUUUGUUGAUAGGCUAAAGCACAAUGUGAUUUUCUCCAUGUCAUAAUAUUUAAGAGGAUGGUUCAAUGUUCCGCAUGUAUGAUGUGCAGCUGGGGCACACGGAGCCAUGAUGGGGGUGUGGGCUCUCGGUAGCUUUUCUUUCUCCCUUUCCCUUCCUUUCUUUUUUUUUUUUUCUCCUCAUUACUUUUGCAGCUCUGCAGAAGGAAGUCACAAAAUUUGUCCGUGUGGGCAACAACCCAGAAAAUGCAAUCUGUGUCUGUAUGGGGAGAAAAGGAGCAGAACCUGCCCCAGCUCCUAGUGCUAUGGGGAACAAAUCCAUGCCCAAAGGCUUGUCUUAUUUUGUGUUUUUGUCCAGUAAAACCAUAUUUGGAGGUUUGCUGAAAAUGCAGAAGAUUUCCAAAGAGCUGCAGGAAAUUCCAAUUGUAGAUUAAAACAAGUGGUAAAAAAUCCAGCUCCUUCCCUGCUCUCCUCUUUUGGAGAAUAAAUUCAAAACAUUACAUUGAUUCAAGUUCCCUGGGGGGAUUGAAGAGUUAAAAUGUAAUUGGUAAAAUCCAUGAUAUGUGUUAUGAAGGGAAAAACAUAUU